ensembl:lncRNA
AUGGCGGCCAUGGUGGUGGCGGAGAGACAUCUGUGGAUGGUGAUCGAGAAGUUCGGGGAGACGAAGGCGCACUCCGCUGCUUUCAGAUCCUUCGUUCCACGAAGGUCCAGGUCUGAGCCCGAACAACAUAGGGGUCCUGGCCUGUCUCGAUCUGAGGAUCAAAGACGGGCACAGAAGGCUAGUGUCGCGACUCAUGCUCCUCCCCCACCUGCGGGCAGGGUUAAGAGGAAUUGUGGGCCACAAGGGGGUAAGCAGAACCUAAGGGAUGUCAUCCAGACGAGGCAGCGUUCUCGUCUGAGUCAGAGUGAUACUGAGGUAUCUACUCGUUCCCUUUAAGGAUUUUUAACUUCUGCUUUUAUCCUCCCCUUCCUAAUUCCCCUGUAACCACCAGCUCUCCACCUGAUCGAGGUUAGGUGGAAACCUCUAACGCAUAACAGUCUCCUAUGCUGGACCUAUAAUGUUUUUGGCUGGUUCUAUGUUCAUAGCAACCACCUUACUGAUGGUCCGGACUAAAAGGAGGCGCCCCUUGAGCGGGGCUCCAGCGCAGGAGGGUGGGAGUAUAAAAAUAACCCUUUCUGUAUAUACUUAUGUGUAAAUUGCUGGUGGUUAUGUGUCUACUAAUAAACUCUGUGAGUUUCCUUUGCAGUGCUCAGUUACAGUGUUUACUAAACACUCGUCAGCACCAGCCAUCCGGCUUCAUGUUCCGGUAUUAGGCGGCUGAGAUCACAGGUUUCUGCGGGAGCCUCCUUGAUCAUCAGGCCUGGCACAGCACUGCAGGGAAUUUCAUGGAUGUCCGGCCAGGUCACCCUGAGGGGUCUCCUGGCCGCUUAGGUGCUGUCGCAUCCAGCGGGAAGUGAAGGUGGCAGUUACAGAAGUCUUCUUGUAUAUGCUGCCUCAGGUGAUGCUCCCUCGCUAGAGGUUUAUAAAAUUCGAGCUUGCCUCUCCCGUGCGGUUCAGCGCCUCUGCGAUGCUUAGGAACCUUUAGGUACACACGCUAAGCUCUGUGUACUUUCUGAAAACCACAUGGUGGUCAGUGUGCACGUGAACACUUUGCGCACUUUCUAAAAAUCCACGUAUUGGUAAGUGUGCACGCAAGACUCUGCGCACUUUCUGAAAUCCUGUAUGGUAAGGGUUACGCGCUCCGCCUCGUUCCCUUUCUUGAGAUGAUUAGACCUUGGUUCCUUGGGCUCCAUUCAGCCAGUGUAUUUGUUUAUACACUUCAAGCAUCGCUUCCCUCAACAUGAGGGGCUAUUCGGGCGAUUCUCGUGGUAGUUUAGCAGCGCUCCCCUUUUCCAAGAAGGGUCGCCUAUGAGCGUGCUACUCUGGAUUCAGGAGUUCUCCUCUCAUAUGAGACUGAGUUCACUGUUUUUCCCAGAGCGCUCCAACAUUAUUUCCACAGAUCGAGUUGAUGACUCUCAAACAUACUUUUUUGAGAUGCACCAUUCCAUCUAUGAGCUGCUCUAUCAGAGUGCCACGAGAGCCCUUCCUUAGAACAGUAUUUGAAAAUCCAUGAUAUGGUAAGUGUGCACGUGAAGUCUUUGCACACUUUCUGAAAUCCACACUGUGGUAAGUUCGCACGCUAGUACUCUGCGUUCUUUCUAAAAUCCUAUAUGGUUAGGGCUUCGCGCGGUUGCUUCUGCCCUUUCUUGAGCUGGUAAAAGCCCCGUUCAUCUUGGGCGCCACUCCACCCAUGUAUCCUCAGAUACCUAUCUAAACAGGGUGUUGCUACUGGAGAUCUGUUGAGACAGCUCCUUCAGCAAGCUUUUGCGGAAGCAAGCUGUAGCCCCUGUGUGACAGGCAAGACUUAGUAUAAAAUGCUAGGUUCCUAGCCGUAUCCCUUUAAAGGAAUCUUUCCUGAUUCCAAGCCUUUAGCUCUACCACCGGGCCGAGGCCCUAACAAUUAAGUUGGGUAUGUAGCUUAGGCCUUUGGCCGUAAGGGGUAUUGUCACAGACAGCCGUCUAAACGUCCCGGGGACAACUCCCAUUGAAAUGGUAGAGUUGGUACUUAGUGUUCGCCAUGAUUCUGGCCUGCACUCCCCUCAGCAUGGCGGCGUGGGUAUACUGUUCCCCAUAGCGACCCCUAGAGGACGCAGUUCGAAGUUCCCUUGAAAGGGAACGUCUCAGGUUACGAAUGUAACCAUGGUUCCCUGAAUAGGGAACGAGACACUGCGUCCUCUAGCUCCCUGCCAUGCUUCAGACGCAAGCUUCAGACGAAGAAGUGAAUGACGUGUUUUCCCGGUGCCUGUUUUAUAGUCGCACCGGUAGUGACGUCAGAGGCUGUCGCCGGCCAACUCGUUGGUGUUUUUUCAUUUGUAUGCUUCAGACACGGGUCACGACGAGGUGUUCCCCAUAGCGACCCCUAGAGGACGCAGUGUCUCGUUCCCUACUCAGGGAACCAUGGUUACAUUCGUAACCUGAGACGUUUUGCUUUGUUUCACAGAACUAAUAUUUGCUGGCUUUUGCUUGAAUAUGCUCGUGUGUCCUGUUUUCUUGUUUGUUCAUCUGCUGUCGUAUUGUUGUUGCCUUCAGCUAUGAUAAAGUGAAAGUGAAAGUUGUGACAUUUGCCAAGUAUAGUAACCCAUACUCGGAAUUGGUGCUCUGCAUUUAACCCAUCCAAGUACACACACACACAGCAGUGAGAAGUGAACACACCGUGAACACACACCCAGAGCAGUGGGCAGCUAUAUCCAGUUUAUUAAGUUUAUUUAAUUUGUAUCUAUAUUGUAUUUGUCUUAUGGUUUGUAAUUUGCUUCUUUGUUCUUUUUAUAUAACUAUAUAUACACUCAAUGGCAAAUUUAUUAGGUACACCUGUUCAAUUGCUUGGUAACACAAAUUGGUAAUCAGCCAAUCACAUGGCAGCAACUCAAUGCAUUUAGGCAUCCAAAUGUGGUGAAGACGACUUGCUGAAGUUCAAACUGAGCAUCAGAAUGGGGAAGAAAGGGGAUUUAAGUGACUUUGAACAUGGAAUCGUUGUUGGUGCCAGACGGGCUGGUCUGAGUAUUUAAAAAAACUGCUGAUCUACUGGGAUUUUCAUGCACAACCAUCUCUAGGGUUGACAGAGAAUGGUCUGAAAAAGAGAAAAUAUCCAGUUAGCGGCAGUUGUGUGGAUGAAAAUGCCUUGUUGAUGUCAGAGGAGAAUGGGCAGACUGGUUAGAGAUGAUAGAAAGGCCACAUUAACACAAAUAACCACUUGUUACAACCAAGGUAUGCAGAAUACCAUCUCUGAACGCACAACACAUUGAACCCUGAAGCAGAUGGGCUACAGCAGCAGAAGACAACAUAGGGUGAAAAUGGAGACUACAAUUCGCACAGGCUCACCAAAAUUGGACAAUAGAAGAUUGGAAAAACGUUGCCUGGUCUGAUGAGUCUCGAAUUCUGCUGCGACAUUCAGAUGGUAGGGUCAGAAUUUGGCGUAAAGAACAUGAAAGCAUGGAUCCAUUUUGCCUUGUCUCAAUGGUUCAGGCUGGUGGUGGUGGUGUAAUGGAGUGGGGGAUAUUUUCUUGGCACACUUUGGGCCCCUUAGUACCAAUUGAGCAUCGUUUAAUGCCACAGCCUACCUGAGUAUUGUUGCUGACCUUUAUGACUACAGUGUACCCAACUUCUGAUGGCUACUUCCAGCAAGAUUAUUCCCCAUGUCACAAAGCUCAGAUCAUCUCAGACUGGUUUCUUGAACAUGACAAUGAGUUCACUUUACUCAAAUGGCCUCCACAGUCACCAGAUCUCAAUCCAGUAGAACAGCUUUGGGAUGUGGUGGAACGGGAGAUUCGCAUCAUGGAUGUGCAGCCGGCAAAUCUGCAGCAACUACAUGAUGCAUCAUGUCAAUAUGGACCAAAAUCUUUGAGGACUGUUUCCAACACCUUGUUGAAUCUAUGCCACGAUGAAUUAAGGCAGUUCUAAAGGCAAAAGGGGGUCCAACCCGGUACUAGCAAGGUACUAAAGUGGGCAGUGAGUAUACAGUCACAACUCCUUGACUGUUCUUGAAUGGCCCAGCCAGAUCCCUGACUUAAACCCAAUUGAGCAUCUCUGGAGAGACCUGAAAAUGGCUGUCCACCAACGUUUACCAUCCAACCUGACAGAACUGGAGAGGAUCUGCAAGGAGCAAAUCCAGGUGUGAAAAACUUGUUGCAUCUUUUCCAAAAAGGCUGUAUUAGAUCAAAAGGGUGCUUCUACUAAAUACUGAGCAAAGGGUCUGAAUACUUAGGACCAUGUGAUAUUUCAGUUUUUCUUUUUUAAUAAAUCUGCAAAAAUGUCAACAAUUCUGUGUUUUUCUGUCAAUAUGGGGUGCUGUAUGUACAUUAAUGAGAAAAAAAAAGAACUUAAAUGAUUUUAGCAAAUGGCUGCAAUAUAACAAAGAGUGAAAAAUUUAAGGGGGUCUGAAUACUUUCCGUACCCACUGUAUAUACAGUGUAUGUUUGUGUGUGUGAGAGAGAGAGAAAAUCAUAUAAAUAUCAUGCAAUAUUUUUUUUUCUCAUUUCGUGUCAUAUUGCCCAACUGGUGCCAUAUUCCACCAUGAGAAAUCUGGUCACCCUAGAUAAUGUUGAAUAGCCAUUAUAACAAAAGGACAUCAUACAAGAGGUGUUCCCUUAGUUACAAGAAGAUAUAAAAACCCUGAAAUAACAAAUUUUACCUUUUCUUUUCUUUCGUCUAAACUUUCUUUUUUUAAGGAGGCA